rnacentral:rRNA from 1 species
UACAGAGGUCCCGAGCGUUGUUCGGAUUCAUUGGGCGUAAAGGGUGCGUAGGCGGCGGGGUAAGUUUGAUGUGAAAUCCCGGGGCUCAACCCUGGAAUUGCAUUGAAUACUACCUUGCUAGAGUACCGGAGAGGAAACUGGAAUUUACGGUGUAGCAGUGAAAUGCGUAGAGAUCGUAAGGAAGACCAGUGGCGAAGGCGAGUUUCUGGACGGUAACUGACGCUGAGGCACGAAGGCCAGGGGAGCAAACGGGG